CAUGUAGGCGGUUAGAAAAGUGUGAAUUGAAAGGCAGAGGCUUAACCUCUUGUUUGGUUUGCAAACUCUCUAACUAGAGUACGGAAGGGGAAACUGGAAUUCCGCGUGUAGGGGUGAAAUCUGUAGAUAUGCGGAAGAAUACUUGUGGCGAAGGCGAGUUUCUGGUCUGUAACUGACGCUGAAAUGCGAAAGUGUGGGAGCAAACAGGAUUAGAUACCCUGGUAGUCCACACUGUAAACGUUGUACACUAAGUGUUAGGGGUAUCGACCCCCCUAGUGCUGUAGCUAACGCGAUAAGUGUACCGCCUGGGGAGUAUGCUCGCAAGGGUGAA
rnacentral:rRNA from 1 species